rnacentral:tRNA from 1 species
GGCUGUGGCUCAGUGGUAGUGCGCUCACCUAGCACGUGUGAGGUCCUGGGUUCAAUCCUCAGCACCA